UAUGUUCACCACCUUUUCAGUUUUCACCGAAGAAACUAACUGCACGUCUACUGUUCAUACUUCAUAACCUUUCUGAAAAAUUCCUUCUUUUGAAUCGUCUCAAAUUCCCCCUACUCAGAAUCUAAUUCCUUUUCUGCGCAAGCGGAUGUUCUACUGAUUGAACAAUCACAUUAAGUAGCUUACUACAUAAAAUUAGGGUUUUGGCUUUUUGAAUUGAAAAAAUUGAGAAAAACCCAGUUUGAGCAAAAAUACACGCGUUAUAAUGGCAAGAAAUCUUAGAGUGUUUCAAGAGGAGAAUUUGUCACGAGGUACCAAGUUUGUUCGCUUGCAAAUUUCUUUUGGUGGGGAUUUUUCAUGAUUCAUACAUGAGAUAUUGAUACAUGGUGAUUGUCAUUUGUCCUGAAUCAUUUCAUACUUUUGGGAAUGGUUACUUUUUCUGGAAUUACAGUGGGAGAGUUGGCUUUUGAGCAACGAUUGGAGCUUGGUCAUGAGCUUAAAUCAAGUUGGGAGUCUUAAAUUCAAGCUUGCAGGUGGCAGAACUAAUGGCAUUAAAAAAAAAGCUUUCCUCAGUCUAAAAUAGAGGGUAGUUGCCAAGAAAACUGCUCAAUUGUUUUCCAUACCAUAUGAUAGAGUGGAUAUUUCUGAGCUUCUGUAAAUAAGGUGGACAUACAAAAGCAACUGAUUCUAGAUUCUGCACACAAAGUCAAUUUUAGUCGACGUCUACGCUAAGGAUUAGAUGUAUUUGGAUACACAGGUUAAUGGAUUCAGAAACAAAGCUCAACGAUGCCUUGGUUGACUUAUCUAAAGAUCAACCUAAGCUAUGCCAUACAAAAAAUAUCUUCAACGGAAAAUUUCUACAACCUCCUGGUCUUUGGAAGGAAAAGGGGACCCUGGUAGUGUCGGAAAGGAAUUGUCGGCAUGCCAUGCACAUGUACAAGCAGAUUUGUCAUGGUGAAGGCAUCAUCCCAGUCCCACAUCAUUUGUGAACCUUAUAUGGUCAUUUUCGAAAGACAUUCAGUUUAUUGAUUGUAUCAUGGGAUAGCUGGCAGUUCAUGUGGGGUAAGAGGGCGGUGCUCCUCCCUUAACUGAUGGCCAUAGGAUGUAAAGUAUGUCAUCAUUAGAGCCAAAGGCCUUGAGUUGGUCUGUAUUUGUAUAGUUUUUUCUUCGGUGGGCUAUAUAACGGCUGUCAUAUUCAGCACACCUUAUUAACAAAACCAACGCAAGCAUAGAAUUGUAA